ACCUGCUCAUCUACAGAUGGGUAAACUGAGGCCCGCGGCAGAGGCCUUACAUUCGCGCAGGGUGGCUGGAGCCGGGAGGAUCACUGCGGACCCCUGCCUGCUCCCACACCUCCUCCCACAGGCUCCCAGCCGCCUGCCCCUGGCAAUGGGAGGCCUGGAAGCUGGGCCAGGACCACGGCGACCGCCGACUCUGCGCGGCUCCCCACGGGGCCACCCACAUCCUCCAAGCGCAUCCCUCCUGGUGUCCGAGCUGACACCCAGCGGAGAAGGCGACACUUUGCUGACGCCUCCAGGAGGCGCUGCAGCCAAGGCCGCCCCGGGCCGCGGGGAAGAGGACGGCGACCGGUCGCCUGAGGUCUUGUCUCCGCACGCCCCGGGGUGUCGGCCGGCUGGCGGUGGAGCGGACACGGGCACAGCCUGGCCGUGGGAGGAGCGGGCGCAGGGGCCGGAGGAUGAAGGGACGGGGCUUGGCGGCCCCGGCCUCCCUGUUUCCUGUGAAGGACGGAGACCGGCACCAGCACCCACGGCUGCACUUCAGCCCGGAGUCGUCCAUGCACAGCUGGGCCCUGGCCUCUCCGCCUGUGUGUGUUCCGGGGAGGAUGCGGCCUCUCCACCUCUGUGACCUGGAAGCCACGUCCAGGUGUGUUCAGAGUUGGUUCCUUCCAGUGGGUUCAUGGUCUCGCUGACUUAAAGAAUGGAGCCACGGACCUUAGCGGUGAGUGUUAAGGCUCUUAAAGAUGGCAUGGACCCAAAGAGUGAGCAGCAGCAAGAUUUACUGUGAACAGCAGCGGGUUGCCACUGCUGGCUGGGAGGGGUGUAGGGGUGGGGAUGUGUGUGUGUGGGAGGGGGGGCCAGCUUUUAUUCUCUGUAUUUGUCCCUGCCCAUGUCCUGCUGAUUGGUCCAUUUUACAGGGUACUGAUUGGCCCAUUUUAAAAACGUCUAGCUAGCUACAGAGCACUGAUUGGUGCGUUUUUACAGAGCCCUGAUUGGUGCAUUUUAUAAACCUCUAGCUAGCUACAGAAAAGUUCUCCAAGUCCCUACUUGACCCAGGAAGUCCAGCUGGCUUCAGCUCUCACAGGUCUUGCAGCAGAAACAUGAGCAUCUGCCUGGCGCGGUGGUUCACGACUGUAAUCCCAGCACUUGGGGAGGUCGAGGCAGGCAGAUCACCUGAGGUCAGGAGUUCAAGACCAGCCUGGCCAACAUAGUGAAACGCUGUAUCUACUAAAAAUACAAAAAGUAGCCGGGUAUGGUGGUGUGCGUCUAUAAUCCCAGUUACUCAGGAGGCUGAGGCAGGAGAAUCGCUUGAACCUGGGGGGCGGAGGUUGCAGUGAGCCAAGGUCAUGCCACUGCACUCCAGCCUGGGCAAGAAGAGCAAGACUGUCUCAAAAAAAAAAAAAAAAAAAAGGAAAAAAAGAAAAAGAAAGAAAAGAAACAUGAGCAUCUCCUUAGAAAUGGAUGCAGCCCACGUACAAUUACGAUGCUGGCUUUAAAAAAAAAAUCAGUAACAUUCUUCAUACCGAAGUUCUACACUCCCCACUUGUCAGAAGAAAAACUGAGACAGAAUAAACAAACAGCUUCCAGGCGGAGAUGAAGCUAGGAUUGGAACCCAGGACCUACAGCCCCCAAAGAGUAUAAAACAGUCCUGCUGUGAACAAAAGAGUUUUAGCAGAAUCUGCUGUUGUGGAAAGGGCUAACACAUCCUCGUGGAGCACUGCCGCCAGCGCUGUGCUGCCGGCCUUGUGCAGGGAGCUCAUGCAGGAGCUGGAGAAGGACUUGACGGGUUGGGACAGGAUCUCUUCGGGGAGACAGAACGAGCAGUAAAUGUGCAUGUUUGCAUUUUUCUUGUGUUGUGCUUUCUCAAGCGGCUCGAUGGGCCCCGGGCGACCCGGCCACAGCCACCCUCAGUCAUUGCUCAUCUCCCACCCCACACACGUGCAUGUUAAGCCUCUCUUCACCUGUGCACCCAGGCCUGGGCUUCAGGCUUUAGUGUCUUCCCUUGAGUGCUUGGGAACCUGCCUUCAGUUUCCAGAGCACAAAGCACUGAGCGAUGUCAGCUCUGAACCUGAGGCCCUUGAGAUUCCCUGAUUCCAGGUUGCUGGAGAGCUCUCAGCAUUGCCCUGUGGAGCUGGGCAGCAGCUGCAGAU
ensembl:lncRNA